GUUUAUGUAGUUUAAAAAAAACAAAUUAUUUUCAAUAAUUAGAAAAAAAAAUAUUUCUUAAACU
rnacentral:tRNA from 1 species